CACCUGUCUUCCCUUCCUCCCGCCCGCCGCCUCCCCCUUUCUCUCUCUCCCUGAUCCAGAUCGACGCUGCCUCCCUCCCUCUCUCUCUCUCUCCCCGAUCCAGAUAGACGCUGCCUCCCUCUCUCUCUCUCUCUCUCGCUUCCCGUCGCCGGCGGCGACGCCCUCCUUCCCUCGCCCCCUCCUCCUCCCCUCCUCACGGCGCCUCCACCACGCAACAAAUCCCGGCGACCCACCCCGUCUCCGCGACCGCCUCGGCAACCACCUCCGCCGCGCGUCCGAGUCCCAUCCAUGUCCGCGCCGGCCCCGUCUCUGUCUCCUUUCGUGGGAGGUGACCCGCACCCUGCCCCGCGGCGGGGGAGGGGCAGCGGCGGCCUCGUGUAGAUCCCAUCGGGAUCCCGUCCGGAUCACGGCGCGGACGCAUGCCCUAGACGCCAUGACCCGUCUCCCUCCCCUUCUCUAAUCAGGAAGGAGAGGCCAGGCGCCGGACAUGAACUUGCUCUGCCCGGGACGCCGCUCGCCAUCAAGGCAGGAGGCCGGCAACACGGUGGUGAUGACGCCAGCGUUCAGCGUGGACAAUCCCUGCUCGAUUCGGCCAGGCUCGAGAUACACCCAUCCCUCGACUCUGCUGCUUCUCCCCGACUUAGAAUGAGGCUGCUCUGGAGGAAGCAGAGGACUCUGGGGAGAAGGCUUCCAUCAAGGAAGCAGACAAGUACUGCAAGGCCAUCAUCAGGAGGCUGUCGCGCGGCGCCACCUGCCUGAAGGGCAGCCUGCUGGCCAUCGCCCUUGCAGCCGGGGCUGGCUUCAUGCUCUCCCCCAACCUGGACCUCACCGCCGACCUGGAGAAGCUCCAGGCGAUGGCGUUAUUCUUGUUUGAAGCUAAGCUAGGCUACUGCAGUUCCAGCAAAAAGCAGGGGAGCCGCUCUUUUCUUUCUUCACUAAUAAAUUCUUGUUUGAAUGCAUAUCCUGGGGGUGGUGAAGCUGGGAGCCUUUCCUCCCCAUAAAAAUACUUUGCUCUUCAUUAUGAGCAGUGCCCUUAUAUAAUUAGCUGCUAGGAGUGUUUAUAUACUUGAUCACCACACCUCUAUCGUUCUGGUUACUUUUGCUUUCUUCUAUGUAGUUGUCCAGGGCAUAACGGUUUUAUGUGUGGCUUGUUUUUGUGUUACCAGCCUACUUUCUUGUACUGACUUUACCAUCAGUGACACACCUCUUGGAGAUUUUUGUAUUACCGAUGGCUUAAUAUUUAAACUGUUUAGAUUGAUUUGAAAUUGAAAUCAUAGGGUUCUUUUGAAUUGUUUGUAGUUGCUCCAGGUCCUUCUGUAGCUGUGUUUAUAACUGUCUUUGUUCCUUUUUUGAUAACAGGACCAGUUUGACACGAUUGACUUGUCGGACAGCGAGAUUGUCAAGCUUGAGAACUUCCCUUUCAUGAAUCGACCAGGGAGCGUGCAUCACAUAUUUGUCAUAGAAUAGUUUUAUUUGGCACUUACUGUUCCUGGGAUGUAAAGAUAUGUAUUGCUGGAAUGAAUGGUUGUAAUAUAAUAACAUUGCAUGUUGCUUUGAAAAUGUAUUAGAGCAGGGCUAGGCCCAAGAUAGCUUGUGGUGUGAUGUGUUGUAAUGUCAAUGGCAUAAUAUUUUUUUUGGAUUGGAUCA